UGCCUUUUGAAUUAGAAACCUAGAAAGUGAUGGCCGAUAAAAACCCCUUUGGCCCAAUUUUCUAUAUACUCUUAGUCCCUGCCCUUAUGUUAUACCUAGGAUGGGCUUAUGCUGAAACUCCUUCACAGUGUUAACCUCUACCACUUCAGCUGGAAGGCUAUUGCAUGCAUCCACUACCCGCGCAGUAAAUUAAUACGUCCUGUUAUUUUUAAACCUUUCCCCCUCUACCUGAAGAAAUGGUAGGCCUUUGUUGGGUAGUUUGAGUUAGCAAUGUGCUAAGAUACUCUAGAAUUGGACAUUGACCCAGCAUCAAAAUUCAACGUUUAAAAAAAUAAAAUAAAAAGAAUUUAAACAAUUAUAUGGCUUGGUCUCAAAUGUGCCACUUAAACAUCCACAUAUACCUGAGAAAGUUGCACAUGGGGGUAUUACUAUACUAAAACAACAUCGCUGAUCAACAUAUUAAGCAAUAACUUUCCUUAACUUGCACCAAUAAUGCACAUUUUUUGCAAGAACUGUGAAAAGAAACCCAUUUUAUAAUUUAUACAUCAAAUUAAAGCCCUUUUUGAAGAAAAAAAACCCCAAAGCAUGUGUUGGUGUAAUAAGUUGGUAAAAUGCAAAUUGCAGUUUAACC